GUCGCUUACCUGGCCCGUCCCCGCCUCCGGUACCCUCUGAACUCUCCUUCUCCCUUCCUUCUUUCCUGCUCCCGCCGCUCCUCCCCCAGCUGUGCGCACGCUCACUGCCGCUCUCUCCUCCGCUUCCUUCCCGCGUGCCUCUCCCGUCAAGCAGCCCCGCCCGAGAGCGUCCCGUGCCCGCGCUCGGUCCGUGGGACGCCCCGGGCCCGCGCACUGUCAGUGGCCCGCGCUCGGUCUGUGGGACGCCCCGGGCCCGCGCACUGUCAGUGGCCCACGCACGGUCCGUGGGACCGGCCCGGACGUCCGUGGCCCGCGCACGGUCCGUGGGACGCCCCGGGCCCGCGCACUGUCCGUGGCCCACGCGACGGUCGUGUGGACGUCCCGGCCCACGACGUCUAUGGAACGCCCCGGGCCCACGUUCGGUCCGUGGGACGCCCCGGGCCCACGCACUAUCUGUGGCCCGUGCACGGUCCGUGGGACGUCCCGGGCCCACGUACAGUCUAUGGAACGCCCCGGGCCCACGUUCGGUCCGUGGGACGCCCCGGGCCCGCGCACUGUCAGUGGCCCGCGCUCGGUCUGUGGGACGCCCCGGGCCCGCGCACUGUCAGUGGCCCACGCACGGUCCGUGGGACGCCCCGGGCCCGCGCACUGUCCGUGGCCCGCGCACUGUCCGUGACGUCCCGGGCCCACGUACAGUCUAUGGAACGCCCCGGGCCCACGUUCGGUCCGUGGGACGCCCCGGGCCCACGCACUGUCUAUGGAACGCCCCGAGCCCGCGUUCGCUCUGUGGGACGCCCCGGGCCCGCGUUCGCUCUGUGGGACGCCCCGGGCCCACGUACAGUCUAUGGAACGCCCCGAGCCCACGUUCGCUCUGUUGAACGCCCCGGGCCCACGUACUAUUUACGUCCCGGCCUUCUGGGCCUCAGAGCCGGCGGCCGGGAACAGCAGAGAAGGUGGACGCCACCUGCUGGACAUAAUUGGAACUGGGAAAGAGUUCCAGAGGAUUAUAUGAGAUUUCUGUGAAAUGCAAUUGGGACAUUCAUGAGGGAACUCUGGAUGUUGGUUCCAAGUUUGUGCUACAGGCUCUGCCCUUCUCUUAUCAUAGGAUCAUGGAUUUAAGGCCUUUAGAGAUGAGCUAAUCCAAUUCCCUGGUUUUGCAAAUGAGGAAACUGAGGCACAGAGGUCACAUGAGUGUUUCAAAUGAGCAUUCAGACCCAGGUCCUCAGACUAGCUGCAGCUCAGGAGGUAGGCUGGGACUCAGAGCACAAAACAAACCCCCAAACUCUUAAUAACAUGGAGUGCUUCUUCCAUCAGCUGGGACUCAGAGCACAAAACAAAACAAACCCCAAAACUCUUAAUAUCAUGCAGUGCUUCUUCCAUCACAGCCCUAACAAUGAUUUUCAUCAUCUCUGUUCCCUCCCCCCCAUUUUCCCCCACCCCCUGAGAGAGAGACUGACUGACUAGUAAUGAGUGGAAUGAAUGACACUUUUAAGUCUUCUUAUUCCAAAUCCAAUGUUCCUUCCCUUACAAUCACUCUACCUCUGCCAAUGAAUUGGUAGUCAUUUAUUCAUCCUAAAGUGGUCCAAAUAAGCUUCCUAAUGCACAGGCCAGCCUACGACGCUUCCCUGAUUAAAAACCUUCAGGGAGAAGAAGUGAACAUGUUUCACAUAGA
rnacentral:lncRNA from 1 species